ensembl:lncRNA
AACGAAAAUCACGCGUUUUCUCAAAUCCCCCAUUUAAGCGAAAAUCACCCGUUUUCUCUUCGAGAAUCCAACAUUUAACCAGAAAAUCAUGCGUUUUCUCUUCGGAAAUCCCCCAUUUAACCAGAAAAUCACGCAUUUUCUCUUCGAGAAUCCCCCAUUUAACCCGAAAAUCAGGCGUUUUCUCUUCGGAAAUCCCCCAUUUAAGCGAAAAUCACGCGUUUUCUCUUUGAGAAAUCAACAUUUAACGAAAAUCACGCGUUUUCUCAAAUCCCCCAUUUAAGCGAAAAUCACGCGUUUUCUCUUCGAAA